AAAACAGACAAAACAAGCAAGUUGGAGGUGAAGUACAUUAAUGCAGUAAAAGGACGUGGAGUAUUUGCAAAGAGUUCUAUUUGCAAAGGAGAUUUUCUUGUUGAAUAUCGAGGAGAUAUGAUAAAUGAAGCAGAAUCCCAGAGAAGAAGAAACAUUUACCACCCAUCAUGUACUGUAUUUAUGUUUGACUUCAAGUGGAAAGGGAAACUAUGGUGUAUUGAUGCCUCAAGAGAAGAUGGAUCAUUUGGGCGGCUCGUUAACGAUGACCACAGACACCCAAACUGUAAAAUGAAAAAAAUUGAUGUGGAUGGAAAACCACACCUUUGUUUGUUUGCCCUGAAUGACAUUAAAGAAGGAGAAGAAAUUGUCUAUGACUAUGGGGGUGAUGACUACCCAUGGAGAACACAAGUAUGUUGCAAAGUAUGCAGUAUACGUAAUGCUGUGA